CGCGUAGGCGGCUUUGCGUGUCUUCCGUGAAAUCCCUCGGCUCAACUGGGGAGGGUCAGUGGUAACGGCCGAGCUACACGAGUGCAGGAGAGGGACGUGGAACUCCGGGAGUAGCGGUGAAAUGCGUAGAGACCCGGAGGAACACCAGUGGCGAAGGCGGCGUCCUGGCCUGUGACUGACGCUGAGGCGCGAAAGCUAGGGGAGCGAACG
rnacentral:rRNA from 1 species